UUCUUUCUUUUUCAAUUGGUGGGUUUCUUCCCGAUACUUACGUCCAAAUUCUUCUCUAUGCUUCCCACCACUUUUGGAUUCACCGUCUCUGCUUCUUCUUUUUUGCUUGGUCCACCACCUCCAUUAUCAGCUUCUAAUCCUCACACUCUUAACACUUACGAUUUUCAGUCCUCAUCACAGAAACUCUCUGUUUCUCCCUCUUCCAAUCCUUUUCAAAAAGACGCUUCACCGGCCAUCACCCUAUUUUUUUCAUAUGUUAUCUCCUCACAAAACACAACCCUAUUACCUCCACUGUUAGCCAAUCAAAUAUUCACAGAUAUUGAUAUAUUUUAGCGGUCUUCCAACCGUCCAACAUAUGAAUUAUACACAUCUUCUCUUUAGCCGCUGUGAAACGCGUCUCCUUCCGGCGGAUCUGUCUUCUCGUCCUUCUCCAACUGUGUACGUCUUCUCUCCAUGUGCCUCUUCACUAAUAUGGGAUAUCUCCUUUUGUGUCUUCUAUUUACACUAAUUGCUUACUUCACAACCCUCAAAUAAAUGUGGGGUCGUCGAUUUUCCCUCGUCGGUGUCAAGGUUGGUCUUCGCUUGUGCUUCUACUUUCCAAAACCUGGAAUUCCCAUUGAACUCUGCACCACCUCCAAUUUCAUCGAUGUUUUUCACGAAAUGACCAUUCCUUAAUGGAAGACUAUUAUACAUUCAUAGCUUCAGACGCCUCUUCUCAGGUUCUAUUUAUUUGUUCUAUGUUCCUUAGUUCCAUCUUUUUGGAUUAAUUUACACUUUUUUUUUUGAAGAUAUUCGAGGUAAUCGACACAGGUAGGGUUUUUUUAGUUGGUUACUCUCUGUAAGUUCGAUUUGUUAUUGUUUGUACUACAUGUGGAUAAACUUUAUCACCUAAGGAAUUCUAACUGGUUUUAGGUUGUAAAACAGAAACCGCUACAUACAUCAUGCUCCUUCAAAGUUAAUGAAAUUGAAAAGGAAAAAACUCCUAAUACUCUAUAAAUACGUGACUGAUGUAGUUAACAACGCAUAAAGGGUAUCAUCUUCUAUUGUUUUGGUAAAACCACACAUAAAUAUCCUUUCGUGUUAGCGGGUUUUCUAUUAUCUGGAUAUUUAGGGGUACACACCACUUGAUAGAAUCCUGAUGAUUUGUUCACAGAAUUGUCAAAAAUUAAAGAGGCAAGAUUUAUCUUUUUUGGUGUAUCUGAUUUAAGCAAAAUCAUUAUAUAAAUUAAAUUAUUUACAUAUGAAAUUGGUUUUGUUGCAAGAAUGGUUUUUAGGAAAAACAAUGACGCAAAAUUUGAAAUUGCCAACCAUUUACAUUCAAACUAGCAAAGUUUAAUAUUAACCAUCCACACACUUCAGGAAUCUGUAGGAAUCAUCAAACCUCUGGCAGUAUGAUAAUAUUUUUCAUUCUUUUUUUAUCAAUAUACCCUGCAACAGGUAAGAGUUCUUCUUUUUUACACUCAACAAUAAUUCUUUUUCCCCAGUUAAGUCUAGUAUGAGUAAAGUGACUUUAUAGGCGGUAAAGAAAUAAAAAGUUUCCAAAGGUUUUUUGUUGUUUUCUAGACUAAAUAAAGUGUUAUAGAUAGACAAAAUGACCAUUUUACACUUGUAUUCAAAAAACCAAAUUCCAUAACAUUCAUCAAUUUUAACAUCAGGAAUUGGCAUGGAAAGUAUGUUACUGUUUCGUACAUUUAGCCCUUAAAAUUCAAUUGUUUCUACACCAAUAACCGUAGAUAUUGCUAUAAUCUACAAGAAUAGGCUAUUUUAUACCUUCUAAGUACAAUUUGUAGCAUCUGGUCUGCAAUUUUGAACAUAAAAAAAUCAAGAGGACAUUCGUGGUUGCCCUUAAUCAUAUGGAAUUGCAAACGAAAAAGUUUAAAAAAAAAACUUUUAUAGCUACUCAUUUUUUUCAACCCAUAGGUGCAAAAUUGGGCCAAAUCGCAACCCAAGUAUAUGAAAUCAGGAGAGUAGUAAUAAAUAGCAGAGGUCUAAGAUUUUAUAGAAGCAACUCAGACGAAGCUACAAGAAGGAUUCAUAAUGGACGACGAACUUGAAAAGACGGUUAGCGAGUAGCCUUCGUAUGUCAUAAAGAGUCGGAAAGAUGCGGAGAAAAUGGUAAUUUAAUAUGUUAUUAUUCAACUUGAUAUGAUAGGGACAAUAUGGUAAUUUACUAUUUCUGUUUGAUGCAUUUUCUAUAUAUAGGUGGCAAAACCACUAAAUAGCAAUGUACCUUGCAUUUUUGUUAUGACUCUUUUAUCAAAAACCAAGGUACAUUGCCAUUUAGUGCAUUUUCCAUAUUCAUAUGGUAAAUGAAGUAAAUAGCAAUGUACUUUGCAUCUACACAUUUUUUCCUGUUUUUUUUUUUAAUUUCUUUUGAUUUUUUCCAAAAACCUAACUACAUUGCCAUUAGGUGCAUUUUCCAUUUUUGGAGUAAAAAGUCCCAAAUAGCAAUGUAGUUUGCAUUAACCAAAAUACAUUGUUAUUAGGUUCAUUUUCCAUUUUUUUGUUAUUAAUACAGUAAAUAUCAUUGAUAAUUGAAGAGUAAAACUGUUUGUAUGGACGUAAACAGAACAUGGAAGUCAUAUGUUUUUUUUCCAAUUUAUUUCAAUUUAUCGACAAAACUAACUCUUAAGGCCCCAUUAUAAACAUUUGUUUAUUUUAUUUAUUAUAUCUCAAUGUUAUCUAAAUGGCUAAUUGAUGGAUUUUGAGCAAAAGAACAUCUUAUGUGCACAUGCAAAACCCUAAAGCUUUGGAUCUAGGUUUCUCUAUUGUCCAUGUAAAUUUAUCCAAAGCUUAUAAACCCUAAUCUAUCAUAUAUUAAAACGAGAUCUAUAAUAAAAAAAUUUAGAUGAUACCUUUCAAUAGUUGCAAGAAUCUUCAAUCUUCAAGAAGCUUAGUGACACAAGUGUAACACCUCUAAUGACUUACAAACACCAAAGCAAGAAGAUGAUUUAGAAGAGAGAAGGAGAGGGGCAUAAUUUCGGCUAUAGUAACUCUAUGGUUUCUUGGUCUGGCCAAAACUGAAGCCCUGGGGUCCCUUAAAUAGCUAAGCUGCUAGGGCUUCACUCAAAACCCUAAUUGGAUGACUUAGGCCCUAAGCAGCUUAAGAAUCUUCUGGAAUAAGGCCCCCUUGGACGAAAUUAGAGUGGGCUUCCACUCCAAAUUUCGUCCCCCUUAUGCCCAUGAGGAUUCACAACCCAAAUUCAAUUAUCUUACAAUUGACAGUUCUAGUCCCUUUUAUUUAAUUAAUCUAUUUUAGCCAUAGAAUUAAUUCUCAACUAAUUUUUGACAAAUAUUAAUUAAACUAUAUGAUUUCUAUUUUAAUAUAGUAUUCAUAUAAUAUAUUAAUAAACCAUAAUAACCUCUCUCUCUCUCUCUCUCGAUAAAUCAUCAUGUUCAGUUGCUUUGGUGAAGGCAACCCAAAAGGUCAUGCACAACCGGGUCAAGUACAUACCAAAUAUAGUUACGGGCUUAGACACUAAUCCAACACAAAUGACAUUCAUUUGGAAGAUUGUAUAACUACAGAGUUAUCAAUGUUGACCUAUUUAACUAGUAUUUCAUGCUUCUUAAUAGCAAUCAACUAAGAAGGAAUUCCAGAA